rnacentral:rRNA from 1 species
UUAUCAGCAGAAGCAGCCAGCUUGCUGGAAGCGGAAGAGGGAAAGGCUUAGUGGGGGACGGGUGAGUAACGCGUGGGUAACCUGGCCCAUACAGGGGGAUAACACUUAGAAAUAGGUGCUAAUACCGCAUAACAACAGAAAGCGCAUGCUUUUUGUUUGAAAACCAAGGUGGUAUGGGAUGGACCCGCGUCUGAUUAGCUGGUUGGCGGGGUAAAGGCCCACCAAGGCGACGAUCAGUAGCCGGCCUGAGAGGGUGGACGGCCACAUUGGGACUGAGACACGGCCCAAACUCCUACGGGAGGCAGCAGUGGGGAAUAUUGCACAAUGGGGGAAACCCUGAUGCAGCGACGCCGCGUGAGUGAAGAAGUAAUUCGUUAUGUAAAGCUCUAUCAGCAGGGAAGAAAAUGACGGUACCUGAGUAAGAAGCCCCGGCUAACUACGUGCCAGCAGCCGCGGUAAUACGUAGGGGGCAAGCGUUAUCCGGAUUUACUGGGUGUAAAGGGAGCGUAGACGGCAGUGCAAGUCUGGAGUGAAAGGCGGGGGCUCAACCCCCGGACUGCUCUGGAAACUGUACGGCUGGAGUGCAGGAGAGGUAAGUGGAAUUCCUAGUGUAGCGGUGAAAUGCGUAGAUAUUAGGAGGAACACCAGUGGCGAAGGCGGCUUACUGGACUGUAACUGACGUUGAGGCUCGAAAGCGUGGGGAGCAAACAGGAUUAGAUACCCUG